AAGCAAAGAAGUAAAAAAUUUACAACCAGUUUCGACCUGGUAUUAGAAAUAUAUUCCAUGCUUA
rnacentral:tRNA from 1 species